CGUUUCUUGGAACAAUAAGAAAUCCUGCCUGCCCAGUGACUUUUUGUUCAACGGCCGCGGUACCCUGACCGUGCAAAGGUAGCAUAAUCAUUUGCCCUAUAAUUGAGGGCUAGUAUGAAAGGCAAGACGAGGGCCCAACUGUCUCCAGAAUGACUAAAAAAUUAUGCUUUAAGUGAAGACACUUAAAUAUUUCCACCGGACAAGAAGACCCUAUAGAGCUUUACUAAAAAUUUGAACUCCUUUCGUAUCAUUUACAGGCCUAUUUCAAUUUAAUAGUUUGGUUGGGGCGACCCAGGAAUAAAGCUUCCUUUUCUCAAAAGGCACACAAGCCACCAAUUUGAUCCAAUAAUUUUGAACAACGAAUCAAGCUACCUUAGGGAUAACAGCGUAAUCUUUUCCGAGAGUUCAUAUCUACGAAAAGGGUUGCGACCUCGAUGUUGGACUAGGGCAUCCUGUCGGUGCAGCAGCUGACAAAGGUGGGUCUGUUCGACCUUUAAAGC
rnacentral:rRNA from 1 species